GCAUCUGUGGUGUACGGACACACACGCCAAUGUCUUUCACAGAUUGAUAGGUAUUCAUACUAUGGCGAGUCCGGGGUUCGACUCCCCGUCGAUGCA